rnacentral:rRNA from 1 species
AACGAACGCUGGCGGCAUGCCUAACACAUGCAAGUCGAACGAGACCUUCGGGCCUAGUGGCGCACGGGUGCGUAACGCGUGGGAACCUGCCCUUAGGUUCGGAAUAACUCCCCGAAAGGGGUGCUAAUACCGGAUAAUGUCUUCGGACCAACGAUUUAUCGCCUUUGGAUGGGCCCGCGUUGGAUUAGCUAGUUGGUAGGGUAAAAGCCUAGCAAGGCGACGAUCCAUAGCUGGUCUGAGAGGAGGACAAGCCACACUGGGACUGAGACACGGACCAGACCCGUAGGGGAGGGUGCAGUAGGGAAUAUUGGACGAGGGGCGAAAGCCUAGUCCAGCAAUGCCGCGUGAGUGAUGAAGGCCUUAGGGUUGUAAAGCUCUUUUACCCGGGAUGAUAAUGACAGUACCGGGAGAAUAAGCACCGGCUAACUCCGUG